AUUGAACGCUGGCGGCAGGCCUAAUACAUGCAAGUCGAACGGUAACAGGAAGCAGCUUGCUGCUUCGCUGACGAGUGGCGGACGGGUGAGUAAUGUCUGGGAAGCUGCCUGAUGGAGGGGGAUAACUACUGGAAACGGUAGCUAAUACCGCAUAAUGUCGCAAGACCAAAGAGGGGGACCUUCGGGCCUCUUGCCAUCGGAUGUGCCCAGAUGGGAUUAGCUUGUUGGUGGGGUAACGGCUCACCAAGGCGACGAUCCCUAGCUGGUCUGAGAGGGUGACCAGCCACACUGGGACUGAGACACGGUCCAGACUCCUACGGGAGGCAGCAGUGGGGAAUAUUGCACAAUGGGCGCAAGCCUGAUGCAGCCAUGCCGCGUGUAUGAAGAAGGCCUUCGGGUUGUAAAGUACUUUCAGCGGGGAGGAAGGGAGUAAAGUUAAUACCUUUGCUCAUUGACGUUACCCGCAGAAGAAGCACCGGCUAACUCCGUG
rnacentral:rRNA from 1 species